rnacentral:lncRNA from 1 species
GACCGAUGCGUCCCGCGCUCUGGGCGAAGACCGCGGCCCCGCCCCCGCGCCUCCACAGCCUUCUCCCAGGAGGAGGGGCCGUGCGGCGCCUGCCCGGGGGCUCUCAGGCCGCAGGCGGGCGCGAACUUCGGGGAACUUAGGGGGCUCCUGCCCUCCGGCCGUGCGAGCGGGAACAGUCUCCUCCACUCGGAGCGGCGCCAUCUUCAGCUCUGAGUCACCAGGGCUGGAAAAAUACUAGAUGCGCUACUCGCGGACUCGUGAAUACAGGCCAUUUCCUGUACCUACAGCCACGCGCUCAUCCACCACAGUGUCUAUGAAAUAGUUGGCAUUUCAUGAACAUUUGUUGAAUGGAUAAUGGAUAACAUAUUGAGCUCCUUCUAGGAGCCACUCAUCAUGCCUUACCUGGAUGAUGCAGAAGUCCCUGGAAACAGAAGGUCUCACCCUUCUUUAUCUUUCUCAUGGCUUUCCAAGGCUCUUUAUCAUGUUACUUUCCUGCUCAGAAUUCUUUAAUGACUUGCCUCAAUGACCAGAUAUAUGUGAUCUACAGUCAGCCUUCCAGCCUCAUCAUUCCUCUUCCAUUU